rnacentral:snRNA from 1 species
AAAUUCACCUGGCAGGGAGACACCAUGAUCACGAAGGUGGUUUCCCAGGGCGGAGGCUUAUCAGGAUGCGCUGACCCCUGCGAUUUCCCCAAAUGUGGGAAACAAGAUGACAUAAUUAGUGGUCGAGAGGGACUGCGUUCACUUUCCCCUG